rnacentral:rRNA from 1 species
AGUGAACGCUGGCGGUAGGCCUAACACAUGCAAGUCGAACGGCCGCACAGUAAGCGUUUGCUCUUACGGGUGGCGGGUGGCGGACGGGUAAGACGUACAUCGCAAUCUUCUUUUACUGGGGGGACUACGGAGAGACGCUGAUGCUACUACCGCAUAUGAUCUACGGGUGAAAUCAAUAGUUCUUCGGGCCUUUCGCGAUUCAAUGAGCUGAUGUCGGAUUAGCUAGUUGGGUGGGUAAAGGCCUACCAAGGCGACGAUACGUAGCUGGUCUGAGAGGAUGAUCGGCCACACUGGAACUGAGACACGGUCCAGACUCCUACGGGAGGCAGCAGUGGGGAAUAUUGCGCAAUGGGCGCAAGCCUGAUGCAGCAACACCGCGUGAGUGAAGAAGGUCUUCGGGUUGUAAAGCCCUUUUGUUGGGGAAGAACAGCAGCAGAUGUAUACACCGCUGUUCUGACGGUACCUAAAGAGUAAGCACCGGCUAACUACGUG